rnacentral:rRNA from 1 species
AACGUACGCUGGCGGCACGCCUAACACAUGCAAGUCGAACGAAGUAGCAAUACUUAGUGGCAGACGGGUGAGUAACAUGUAGGUAUCUGCCCUUUGGCCUGGAAUAACACGAGGAAACUUGUGCUAAUACCGGAUAAGUCUUUACGGAGAAAGCUUUAUGCACCAUUGGAUGAGCCUGCACUUGAUUAGUUUGUUGGUAGGGUAAUGGCCUACCAAGACUGUGAUCAAUAGCUGAUUUGAGAGGAUGAUCAGCCACAUUGGGACUGAGACACGGCCCAAACUCCUACGGGAGGCAGCAGUGGGGAAUCUUGCACAAUGGAGGAAACUCUGAUGCAGCGAUGCCGCGUGAGUGAAGAAGGCCCUUGGGUUGUAAAGCUCUUUCGUCGGGGAAGAAAAUGACUGUACCCGAAUAAGAAGGUCCGGCUAACUUCGUGCCAGCAGCCGCGGUAAUACGAAGGGACCUAGCGUAGUUCGGAAUUACUGGGCUUAAAGAGUUCGUAGGUGGUUGAAAAAGUUAGUGGUGAAAUCCCAGAGCUUAACUCUGGAACUGCCAUUAAAACUUUUCAGCUAGAGUAUGAUAGAGGAAAGCAGAAUUUCUAGUGUAGAGGUGAAAUUCGUAGAUAUUAGAAAGAAUACCAAUUGCGAAGGCAGCUUUCUGGAUCAUUACUGACACUGAGGAACGAAAGCAUGGGUAGCGAAGAGGAUUAGAUACCCUCGUAGUCCAUGCCGUAAACGAUGUGUGUUAGACGUUGGAAAUUUAUUUUCAGUGUCGCAGGGAAACCGAUAAACACACCGCCUGGGGAGUACGACCGCAAAGUUAAAACUCAAAUGAAUUGACGGGGACCCGCACAAGUAGUGGAGCAUGUGGUUUAAUUCGAAGAUACGCGCAGAACCUUACCAACACUUGACAUGUUCGUCGCGACUCUAAGAGAUUAGAGUUUUCGGUUCGGCCGGACGAAACACAGGUGCUGCAUGGCUGUCGUCAGCUCGUGUCGUGAGAUGUUGGGUUAAGUCCCGCAACGAGCGCAACCCUCACUUUUAGUUGCCAUCAUUAAGUUGGGCACUCUGAAAGAACUGCCAGUGAUAAGCUGGAGGAAGGUGGGGAUGACGUCAAGUCCUCAUGGCCCUUACGUGUUGGGCUACACACGUGCUACAAUGGUAUCUACAACAGGAAGCAAGACUGCGAAGUUAAGCAAAUCCCUAAAAGAUACCUCAGUUCGGAUUGCACUCUGCAACUCGAGUGCAUGAAGCUGGAAUUACUAGUAAUCGUGGAUCAGCGUGCCACGGUGAAUGCGUUCCCGGGUCU